AGGGCGCCGGGGCCGAGAUGCAACGGCCAAGCUCGCUCUGAGAGCCAAAGUCCUCGACGUCCCCCUCCCCCCUCAGAGAUUGGUCCCGGGGGAGCGGCGGGUCUUUAGGCGGCCCCAGCCGUGGCUCCGGUGUCCCCUCACGGCCGGGGGGUGCCCCCCCCCAAACCCCCGGCAGCCAUUUUGUGUCCCAGACGGUCCUUUAGUGUCGCCCACAGGGACAGCUGUUGGCAACGGCUCAGAAUUCGGAGCUCUAGGAUGAAAGGGCAUUGGGGCAGCACAUGGAGCCAGCGAGGCGGCCCUCGAGGUGCACACGGGCUGUUCAUGGGGGAAUAUGUGCACAGAGGCGGGCCCGCGGACCUUUCUGCCACCAGAGACAGCUGCCUGAAAACAGGGGCACAGGGGAGCUCUCGAGGCUCCCUGGAAAUACCUGCAGAGCCUCCAUGGCCCUGAGCAAGCUGGUGUGACAGAGAACAGCAUUGACAGGGUCCUCCAGUACUGCCCCUUCGGGUAGAGCAGCAGCUCUGACAUCUUCUAUCAAAACAGUGCAGCUCUUCCACAGAGGGAGCUGGGGUGGAAACGCUUGGCUGCUUCUUGCUGUGAUACUCCUACGGAGAACUGACAGGGAUUAACUGCAAUACCACUGGAGCUCUCCAGGUGACUGCAGGACAAACCACACACACCAUGUGCAGCAGGAAGCCACUGUGCUGGGCUGCAGCUGCUGCAGUGCAAUUUCCAUUGUCAGCUGAAAGGUACUUACAAAGUGAGGGGAGAACCUCCUGUCGAAGUCACGCUGAGCCAGGAUUCCUCCUUGCCCGGGAGCACUAGUGAAACCAACCUGGAAGAGGCAGGGAAAAGACAAGCUUUACCACUUUCCUUCUUGGGACAGAGCUGGGCAGGGUGAGAGCUCAGGGACAUCACCCCGACCAGGCUGCUGCAAGAGCACUGUCAGGGGUAUCUGCAGGGCUCCUCUAAAUCGUCCACUUACCACGACCUGUCCUCCCUCCUGUGCCAGGUACGUGAUGGUGGCAGAGGUGAAGUUGAAGUAACCAGCUUUGAGAGGCCGCAGAACCACGGUGUGGGACACGUUACUCGCUCUGGGAGCCGGGCGUUAAGGAAAAUGGUUGGAUUUCAUUACAGGAAGAAAACAUAGGUGGAAAAGUCAGUGCUGCUGACAGAUCCGAAUGCUUAUGGUCACAGACAGCCCGACCCACCUCCCCCCGAGGCUGACCCAGCUGCUCCUCCCCAGGCAGAGGAACUUAAGGACCUGGUCCUGUCUGCAAGGAGCAGGUGCUUUUACAAAGCACCAUCCAGAAGAGCGGGCAUUCGGAUUGGGCACCCUGUCCAGGCUCUGGCAUGUGGGAAUUUCUGGGACAGGGCAUGAAGACAGGAUGAAGCUGCAGGAUGCUCAGGGGGAAGAAAAUUUCAAACCAUUAAAAGAUACGGAGCGAUCCUGUCCCACUUGACAUUGAGCAUGCCAGAGACGAUGCCAAAAUCCUCUGGGGGGAAGGAAUCAUCCGACAGUUCCACAUCCAGGGCAGCACUGAACAGAACAAAGGCAGGGAUGAGAAUGGAAUCUUAAGACUUGGCAUCUGCUCAUGGGAUCUGCAGCAAAGUGGGCUGACAGUUCCCUCCUGACCCAAUGGAAGAACUGAUUUGUGAAAGAGGAAAAGUCACCAACACAACAUGGCGAGGAGAGCUGAGGUGUCUUAUGGAGAGACUGCAGAGAGAAGAAGGCACAGCUGAGAGAAACAGCCACAAAGACAGGAAAUACACUGGUUUUUCCACAAUAGAAUUUGGCAGAUACCAUCCCACAGACACACCCUUUGGCCUAAAUAAUAAACAAAUCCCACCUAUAAAGUUACAGUAUCUCAUUAAUAUUGUAAGAGUCCAAUAUUGCAACACCAUAAAUACUCCUCUCAGCAGUACUGCACUCAGCAUACAUGACUCUGCCUUUAAAAAAAUCUAAAAAAACCCCCCAAAAAACAAACACUUUAAUACUCUCCUGCAUUUUGUCCAAUCAGCUUUUCAUUCUGAGAAUAAAGCUUUUUACCAGCA